UACGUAGGGGGCUAGCGUUGUCCGGAUUUAUUGGGCGUAAAGAGCGUGUAGGCGGCCAGGUAGGUCUGCUGUGAAAACUCGAGGCUCAACCUCGAGACGUCGGCGGAAACCAUCUGGCUAGAGUCCGGAAGAGGAGAGUGGAAUUCCUGGUGUAGCGGUGAAAUGCGCAGAUAUCAGGAAGAACACCCGUGGUGCAGACGGCUUGCUGGACCAUAACUGACGCUGAGGCACGAAAGCGUGGGUAGCAAACAGG
rnacentral:rRNA from 1 species